GAGUUUGAUCCUGGCUCAGAAUGAACGCUGGCGGCAUGCCUAACACAUGCAAGUCGAACGAAGGCUUCGGCCUUAGUGGCGCACGGGUGCGUAACGCGUGGGAAUCUGCCCUUGGGUUCGGAAUAACAGUUAGAAAUGACUGCUAAAUACCGGAUGAUGUCGUAAGACCCAAAGAUUUAUCGCCCGAAGGAUGAGCCCGCGUAGGAUUAGCUAGUUGGUGGGUAAAGGA
rnacentral:rRNA from 1 species